UUUUGAUAUUGUUGUGACAUUUAUUAUAAUAUUCCUGCUUUGCUAGUCCCUUUCAGUAGCGUAAUAUCAGGAGUUAGGAUCCUUGAUGUCAUCAGAUGAUUCAGAUCUUUUUUAUUUUAGGUAAUUCAGAAGCAAAAAAGAUUUGCGGGACUACUUUACUGAAAGAUAUUUGGAAACUUUCACCGGAGAAGGGAGUUGAUGUGCCGUUUAAUAAAUGCAUCAACUCCACCUCAGGUGAAUAGAUCCCUGACGCUAACAUUGGACAUGAACGAGUAUCACAAACAUCAAGGAUACCUAGUGUUACUGAAAAUGCUCAACUUUCUCACAGUCAUACAGUCUAAUGUUCGAUAAUUUAGCGGGUGGAAGAUUUCAAAAUGAUGAAAAAUUGCGGAAAUCAUUUGAAGACCAUCAUACUUUGGAUUAGUUAUAU